rnacentral:misc_RNA from 1 species
GAUGAAGAACGCAGCGAAAUGCGAUACGUAAUGUGAAUUGCAAAUUCAGUGAAUCAUCGAGUCUUUGAACGCACAUUGCGCCCCCUGGUAUUCCGGGGGGCAUGCCUGUCCGAGCGUCAUUGCUGCCCUCAAGCACGGCUUGUGUGUUGGGCCCCGUCCUCCGAUUCCGGGGGACGGGCCCGAAAGGCAGCGGCGGCACCGCGUCCGGUCCUCGAGCGUAUGGGGCUUUGUCACCCGCUCUGUAGGCCCGGCCGGCGCUUGCCGAUCAACCCAAAUUUUUAUCCAGGUUGACCUCGGAUCAGGUAGGGAUACCCGCUGAACUUAAGCAUAUCAAUAAGCGGGAGGA